GCUUUCGGAAAUUAUUUCCAAGGGGCGCUACUCUUAAUUGACAACUUCUCAUAGAGGGCGCUGCGUUUUUGCGCCUCUCGACGAGCAGACGACACGACACAAGCACAGGCUCGAUCAUCGGAAUACUGUUUUCUUCGAAUAUAUAUAGAGGUGGAGUUUACAGUAUUGGGGAAGCAUAUUUGUUUAAAGUACAUCACAGCCAGAAAGGUAUGCAUGAUGCAAUAAUAUAUACAAACAUCUUCAA